CCACACGGUAACGUUUUCGUCCUCACCGCCACUAAAUUCAGGGCUACCUGGGUUUGCCUCUCCGACUGACUGGACCACCUGGACGUUUCCCGCCCUCGGCGCCAGCUGCUGCAGUAUUUGCAUCAUGAACUGCUGGUUCUGCUGCUGAAGCUCCUGCUGUUGCUUCAGGAUCGACGUGGAGAUGUCCGACAUCGCCUGACGGAACAUCUCCGACGUCAGCGGCUCCGCCACGAUCGUACGCCUUGCUGACGAUGCAGCUAGGACGUGGACUUCUCCAACUGCCUGUUGCUCAUCCAACGUCCUUUCCGACGGCCCAACCCUCUCAAGACUCAAAAAGCCUUU